rnacentral:snRNA from 1 species
GGAUGUGAGGGCGAUCUGGCUGUGACAUCCGUCACCCCAUUGAUCGCCAGCGUUGAUUCGGCUGCUCUGGCUGGCUAGGCGGGUGUCCCCUUCCUCCCUCCCCGCUCCAUGUGCGUCCCUCCGGAAGCUGCGUGCUCGGUCAAAGAGGACGGCCUUCCCCGAACAGAGACGACGGACCGGUUCUCGGUCGAGGGUAUACGAGUAGCUGCGCUCCCCUGCUAGACUCUCCAAACAAGCGCUCAACAAAGAGUGUGGAAACAGUGUGGUGUUGGGGGAGGCUGAGCAGGAGAGCAGAGUAUGUACGCACGAUGCCCUGGGUCCCAAUGUUUAACUGCUGGGCCAUCUG